GUGUAAAAGGAAUGGAGAGCAUGUGUUUGUAAGAUGAUUCCUUCAUCUUUUGGUUCGGUGCAUUGUUCCCAAAAAGGGCAGAAAGGAAUAGAAAUAGCUAUGGGUUUUCUCUAGGUGUCGAAGGAAGAAGAAAAAUGCAUCGGGUAAUCUUUAGACAUCCGAAUGGGAAUUCGUUUUCGCCUCUGCAAUCAAGAAAUCUACCUCUACGAACGAAGUGCGAUAUGGUUGAAUUGAGGGUCCUAGAAGUCUCAAGGCUGGUUGAACAACAUAAUUAGAGAAGAUUGAGAAUAGGCACUUUCUUGGCUUAAGCAAACCAAGAGAUAAGAGUGAACAACUUGUGGAACGAGUUAGUACCUUCUUGGAAUAUCAGGUGUUGUGCAAGAAAUAAUGGAAGAGUUGGACUAAGGUGUGUGGUUGUAGCUUGUCAACCUAAAAGCUUCCAACCAGAAAAGCAACUUUUGAAAUAUAAAUAUUGAUUUUCUGGUUUCAGUGAAACAUGUCUGUGUUUAUCCUCUUUGCUUCUGUAUAUAUAUAUAUGUCUAAACCUAUCACUCAUUUGGCUUGUAAACUGAACUUUUGGAACUUCUGUUGUAAAAAGGUUGCUUAAGAAAUGGUUUGAAUGUUUUGGUUUUCACUUAAA